rnacentral:rRNA from 1 species
AUUGAACGCUGGCGGCAGGCCUAACACAUGCAAGUCGAGCGAGCGGCGGACGGGUGAGUAAUGUAUGGGGACUGCCCGCUAGAGGGGGAUCACUACUGGAAACGCGAGCUAAUACCGCAUACACUCUGCUAACCCACAUGGGAUUUGCUAGUAGGGGGGGUAAUGGCUCACCUAGGCGAUGCGCCCUAGCUGGUCUGAGAGGAUGAUCAGCCACACUGGGACUGAGACACGGCCCAGACUCCUACGGAGGCAGCAGUGGGGAAUAUUGCACAAUGGGCACAAGCCUGAUGCAGCCAUGCCGCGUGUAUGAAGAAGGCCUUAGGGUUGUAAAGUACUUUCAGUCGGGAGGCGUUACCCACAGAAGAAGCACCGGCUAACUCCGUGCCAGCAGCCGCGGUAAUUC